rnacentral:rRNA from 1 species
AUUUAACGGCCGCGGUAUACUGACCGUGCGAAGGUAGCAUAAUCACUUGUUCUUUAAAUGAGGACUAGUAUGAACGGCACCACGAGGGCUUUACUGUCUCCUCCCUCCCAUCAGUGAAACUGACCUCCCUGUGAAGAGGCAGGGAUACUACUAUAAGACGAGAAGACCCCAUGGAGCUUUAAACCCAACAACAGCCCAAACACCACCACCCCUAAAAAGUUUUAAGGGUAUUGUUAGUUGGUUUUAGGUUGGGGUGACCGCGGAGUAUAAACUAUCCUCCACGACGAACGGGCCUACCCCCUUACCCAAGAGCUACACCUCUAGGAUUAACACAUUAACGUAAAAUGACCCAAAUAUUUGAUCAACGAACCAAGUUACCCUGGGGAUAACAGCGCAAUCCAUUUUUAGAGCCCCUAUCGACAAAUGGGUUUACGACCUCGAUGUUGGAUCAGGGUAUCCAGGAGGUG